rnacentral:misc_RNA from 1 species
GAUGAAGAACGCAGCGAAAUGCGAUAAGUAAUGUGAAUUGCAGAAGUCAGUGAAUCAUCGAAUCUUUGAACGCACAUUGCGCCCGGUAGUAUUCUGCCGGGCAUGCCUGUUCGAGCGUCAUUUCAACCAUCAAGCCCCAGCGCUUGUGUUGGGGGCCUGCGGCUGCCGCAGCCCCCUAAAAGCAGUGGCGGGCUCGCUAUCACACCGAGUGCAGUAGUUCAUCUUCUCUCCGGUCUUGUGAGGCGGGUUCCGGCCGUGAAACACCCCACUACAUUCAAGGUUGACCUCGGAUCAGGUAGGAAUACCCGCUGAACUUAAGCAUAUCAAUAAGCGGAGGA